rnacentral:snRNA from 13 species
UUGCUUUGGCAGUAGAUAUACUAAAGUUGGAACAAUACAAAGAGAUUAGCAUGGCCCAUGUGCAAAGAUGACAUGCAAAAAAAAAUUCCCAAGUCUG